rnacentral:rRNA from 1 species
GUAGUCUCGCACAGAUGCAUAUCAAUAAGCGGAGGAAAAGAAACUAACAAGGAUUCCCUCAGUAACGGCGAGUGAAGCGGGAAGAGCUCAAAUUUGAAAUCUUGAAAGGUCACCCUUCACGAAUUGUAGUUUAAAGAAGUGUUUUCUGUUACGAUCGUAAUAUAAGUUCUUUGGAAUAGGACAUCACAGAGGGUGAGAAUCCCGUCUAUGAUUGCGAUUUGUAGCUUUGUGAUUACACUUUCAAAGAGUCGGGUUGUUUGGGAAUGCAGCCCAAAGCGGGAGGUAAAUUUCUUCUAAGGCUAAAUAUUGGCGAGAGACCGAUAGCGAACAAGUACCGUGAGGGAAAGAUGAAAAGAACUUUGAAAAGAGAGUUAAAUAGUACGUGAAAUUGUCAAAAGGGAAGCGUUUAACACCAGUGUUGUUUUCUGAAAAUCAACCUCUGUUAGCUUUAUGCAUGCUUGUUUAGACCUAAUCAGCUAUCUUGUAUGUUCUAUUGUUUGCAGUGGUGCACUUUUCAGUUUACAGGUCAACAUCAGUUUUUUUUACCGUAAAAAAGUUAAAGAAAGGUAGCUCAUGGCUCCGGUCGUGAGUGUUAUAGUCUUUUUCCUAUGCGGUAGGAGAGACUGAGGUCUGCAGUGUAGGCUAUUUGGCUAGAUACUCAGGUGCUAUGUGAUACCAUUUCAUAAACAACUUGUUGAUUAUGUUUUGUCUAUUGCAUACUCGCUUGUACUAUCAUACCUACGCUUAGGAUGUUGAGUCGUAGAGCACGCAG